CGGUGUUUAACUGGCGUGAUGUGGGACGUCCUACCGGUGGGCUUAGCCUCGCGAGGGGCGGCCCAACUAAUAUCCCGUCGCGGUGCUCUUUACUGAGUGUCGAGUCGGGCCGGUACGUUUACUUUGAACAAAUUAGAGUGCUUAAAGCAGGCUAUCCUCGCCUGAAUACUGCGUGCAUGGAAUAAUGGAAUAGGACCUCGGUUCUAUUUUGUUGGUUUUCGGAACCCCGAGGUAAUGAUUAAUAGGGACAGAUGGGGGCAUUCGUAUUGCGACGUUAGAGGUGAAAUUCUUGGAUCGUCGCAAGACGGACAGAAGCGAAAGCAUUUGCCAAAAAUGUUUUCAUUAAUCAAGAACGAAAGUUAGAGGUUCGAAGGCGAUCAGAUACCGCCCUAGUUCUAACCAUAAACGAUGCCAGCUAGCGAUCCGCCGAAGUUCCUCCGAUGACUCGGCGGGCAGCUUCCGGGAAACCAAAGCUUUUGGGUUCCGGGGGAAGUAUGGUUGCAAAGCUGAAACUUAAAGGGAAUUGACGGAAGGGCACCACCAGGAGUGGAGCCUGCGGGCUUAAUUUGACUCAACACGGGAAACCUCACCAGGCCCAGACACCGGAAGGAUUGACAGAUUGAUAGCUCUUUCUUGAUUCGGUGGGUGGUGGUGCAUGGCCGUUCUUAGUUGGUGGAGCGAUUUGUCUGGUUAAUUCCGAUAACGAACGAGACUCUAGCCUGCUAAAUAGGCGUACCUUAUGGUAUCGCGAAGGCCCCCGGCUUCGGCCGGUGGGUUUUUACUACCAACGUACAAACAAAUCUUCUUAGAGGGACAGGCGG
rnacentral:rRNA from 1 species